rnacentral:lncRNA from 1 species
UGUCAAUCCCAAUAUCUCAGUUUAUCCCUCCUCCACUUUGAUAAACAUAAGUUUGCUUUUUCCAUCUGUGACUCUCUUUCUUUUUUGUAAAUAGGUUCAUUUAUUCCAUUUAUUUAUUAUGUUUUAGAUUCCAUGUAUAAGCAAUAUCGUAUAAUAUUUGUCGUUCUCUCUCUGACUUACUGCACUUAGUAUAACAAUCUCUAGGAAACCAGUAUUUUAAAGCGCAUCCGUUUAGAUGGUGUCCUUAGCUAGUGUCUGCCCCUGGGAGGCACGUGCGUCUGGCUGCUGCAAUCACUUAAUCCCUGCACCUUUACCAUGAAAACUGGGGAGGCGGAGGUCGGGGAGCGGGAAUCCAGUGCAAUCGCUGCUGACAUCCCUUUAAAGCCAAAGUCGUAGAGAGAAGUAAUUGGAUUGAGUGGAAAUAGAGUUUUAGAAUGAAAGUGAAUGAUUUGAUUCAUCUAAUUCAGUUAAAACUUUAGAUCAUCUCAUUUAAAUUGCCUGUGUUUCCAUUUAUAUGUCAAAUCCCUGGCCUUUACCAAGAAGGCAAAGUUUUCCCAAUAUAAAAUAAUGGAAGUCUGUUCACUUCUCCUUCAAGGCCGUGCUGUACCAUUCCUUUCAGCCAGGACUGAAGGUCAGGACCCAGGUCCUUGUAAAGACAAUCCCUUUCAAUGCAGUGUUGGUUGAGUCAUAGAAUGUGAGCUCCUGAAAUGCUCUAACAUUGCCUAGGUCUCUCUCCAGUUGCAGUGAAGCCUCCACAUUCUGAUCCUCUGGGGGUUUUGGUAGCUAUGGGAGCCGGCACUACCUCUGCUCAAGGACACAGCGUCUCAAGGGCACCUAAUCAUUCCCAAGGGCAAAAGCCAUGGGGACUUUGCAACAGAUCAGACAAAUGGAACCAGCUAAUUAAAGCUCAUGACUAGCUAGGCUGAUGACAUGGCAUGAAUUCCUCAGGACUUACAUUGGAGCAUCCCUUGGCCUUGGUGUUUCCCUUGGAAGAAGGAAGUGCAGCAGAGCCUUCUGAGCUGUAUCUUCCCCUCAAAGAACUCAAAAGACUAUCCAAAGGUUGAAGAGUUAAAAACCCAUGGACCAUUCCUGGUCCAGUGGACUAGAUGUCCUGAAAGAUGGCUGAGUUUAGGAAAAUACCUGGUUGGAAGGGCUGCAGAAGGACUGCACCUAAAAGGCACCCUCUUCAUACCAAGAGUCUCUCCGUAGGCUUUUCAAGGACUCUGAGAAGGUGAGUCAGUGAGGAUAGACGUUCUCAUUUUGUCUACGAGGUUAGACAGACGCGC